UGCCCCACCCACUAGAUUACUCCUCUCCUCUCCAGCCACUCAGCCUCCUCUGGGGCACCUAUGGGUGACAGUUAUGUGUGUCUUUCCAGAAUUCUGGAUUCUUUGUUGUUUUAUUUUCAUCACAAGCUUUUGACCUGCAGUUGAAUACUGGAAGACUGUAGAGAGCUGCCCAGUAGUCCUCAGAGACCUUGGUAGAACAAGGGGGUCUGGCGCUUUCCCAGCCUCCUGACCAGCCCCCUCCCGGGCACUGGAGUCUUCCCUCCAUCAAGCAGGUGGCAGAAUGCCCAAGACCGGCCCAGCACUGGCAUUUCAGGGAGAAAUUCCGGACUGAAGAGACACCUAGAGAGAAAGGGAGACAUGGAAAUGCUUAUGGCUUUCAACAGUCAUCCUUUGAAGCAGGCUGGAAACAGGGGAGGUUAAGAGGACGCUUUGAGGGUUACCUAAAACCAAGAAUGCUCCCAGCCCCUCAGCACAGAUGCCGUGGACUUACGUGAAACAAUCAUUUCAGAGGACAGUGACAAAGAAGCCACUGUCUCAGAUUGGACUACGUGAACAAUGAAGAAUGAGGAAUAUGAAUCAUUUGAUUUCUAGUGUUUGAGAUCCUGGGUGGAAGGAAAGGAAAGAGGGAGAGAGGGAAAGAAACUAAAUUUCAAACCUUUGAUUCCAAAAUGGCAAGCAAAGGCAUUUUCUCUUGUUUCU